rnacentral:rRNA from 1 species
UCACACCAUGGGAGUGGGGGAUACCAGAAGUAGGUAGGGUAACCGCAAGGAGCCCGCUUACCACGGUAUGCUUCAUGACUGGGGUGAAGUCGUAACAAGGUAGCCGUAGGGGAACCUGCGGCUGGAUCACCUCCUUU